rnacentral:rRNA from 1 species
UACAGAGGUCUCAAGCGUUGUUCGGAUUCAUUGGGCGUAAAGGGUGCGUAGGCGGCGCGGUAAGUCGGGUGUGAAAUCUCGGAGCUUAACUCCGAAACUGCAUUCGAUACUGCCGUGCUUGAGGACUGGAGAGGAGACUGGAAUUUACGGUGUAGCGGUGAAAUGCGUAGAUAUCGUAAGGAAGACCAGUGGCGAAGGCGAGUCUCUGGACGACUCCUGACACUGAGGCACGAAAGCUAGGGGAGCAAACAGG